rnacentral:tRNA from 1 species
ACCUGGUUGGUUCAGUCGGUUAACCAUCUGACUUUGACUCAGGUCAUGAUCUCAUGGUCUGUGGGUUCAAGCCCCACCUCAGGCU